UACGUAGGGUGCGAGCGUUAAUCGGAAUUACUGGGCGUAAAGUGUGCGCAGGCGGCCGCGCAAGUCGAGUGUGAAAGCCCCGGGCUUAACUUGGGAAUUGCGCUCGAAACUACGUGGCUAGAGUGUGGCAGAGGGAGGUGGAAUUCCACGUGUAGCGGUGAAAUGCGUAGAGAUGUGGAGGAACACCGAUGGCGAAGGCAGCCUCCUGGGCCAACACUGACGCUCAUGCAUGAAAGCGUGGGGAGCAAACAGG
rnacentral:rRNA from 1 species